UAGUCUCGCACAGAUGCAUAUCAAUAAGCGGAGGAAAAGAAACUAACAAGGAUUCCCCUAGUAACGGCGAGUGAAGCGGGAAGAGCUCAAAUUUGAAAUCUUAAAGGGUUUCCCUUUACGAAUUGUAGUUUAAAGAAGUGUUUUCUGUUGAGGUUUUGGUAAAAGUUCUUUGGAAUAGGACAUCAUAGAGGGUGAGAAUCCCGUAUUUGACCUUUACUUUCAACUUUGUGAUACACUUUCAAAGAGUCGGAUUGUUUGGGAAUGCAGUCCAAAAUGGGUGGUAAAUUUCAUCUAAAGCUAAAUAUUGGCGAAGAGACCGAUAGCGAACAAGUACCGUGAGGGAAAGAUGAAAAGAACUUUGAAAAGAGAGUUAAACAGUACGUGAAAUUGUCAAAAGGGAAGCGUUUGACACCAGUGUUGUUUUUCUGUAAAUCAAUUAAAGAACUGUUUAUGCUAAGUCUGUUUAGACUUUAUCAGCUAAUCUGUUUAGUUUUGAGCUUUUCUUUAAUGCACUUUUCAGUUAAUCAAGUCAACAUCAAUUUCUUUUGCUGUAAAAAAGCUUGAGGAAGGUGGCUUGAGAUUCGUCUUAAGUGUUUAUAGCCUCUUGCCUAUGCAGUCGGAGAGAUUGAGGUCUGCAGCGUAGAUCCUUCGGGGCUAAAUGCAUUUGUGCUAAGUUAUAGCAUUUCAUAGACAACUUGUUGACUAUGAUUUGUCUUGUAGCUUACUCGCUUAUGUUAUUUUACCUACGCUUAGGAUGUUGACAGCAGUAUAGACUGU
rnacentral:rRNA from 1 species